rnacentral:lncRNA from 1 species
AGAGCCCGACCCAGCGGCGGCGGGAGGAGGGGAGUGCGUUUUCAUCACCCCAAGUUGGCAAGUUACUCAAAGGAUACGUGAGGGUUUGGGAACUCUCCUUGGUUUCCUGGGCACUGGGAAGCCCAGGCUUCUCUAAUCACUGGGAAGCGAGACGAUUUAGCCUCACAAUUAGCAAACAUUUGCUAAAUGCAACUAGGUGCCCUGUUCUGGCUGCAGGCCAAGCUCCGUGCCAGGUUUCAUCUUACUUCAUUCUGAUUAUCGACAUCUCACUGCCGAGGAAACAGACUUGCAGACACCGAUGAGAAAACUUAGGAGCCAGCUGGGGAGGGAGGACUGGCCCAAAGUCACAGUCAACAGGAGGAAGCGGCGCGCGCCUAGCUACGCAAAACCGUAUUGGACUCGGGGAGCCAGGGGUCGGGGUGGGGUGGGGGCGCGGCCGGCUGGGAGGGCUUCCCUGAAGAAACGUACCGUUUAGGCAGGAUGGAAAAACGCAGAGCAGAACGCACCCUGACCUGGCAGAGCAUCUGUAGUGGAGAGAAUGGGAUUUUAGAGGAACGCUGAAAAUAAAACAAGAAAACAAAAGACCAGAGGAAAGUAUUGCUAGGGUGAAGAGGGAGCGCCUUGGCUCCUUUGCCACCAACCCAGCCCCAGUGAGAGUUUACCCCCUAACUUUGAGGGUGCCCUCCCAUCCCCAGAGCCCUUGGUUUUACGUCUAAGUACACUCCCCUUGCAGGGAAGCGCCAGCUCCGUGACCCUGGUUCUCUAAACAUUUUCCUUGCAGACUCCUAAAAGAAUUUUGAAAAUCUGUGUACCCCUUGCACAUUUUUAGGUGCAAACAUUUAAAUUGUUUUCAUAAGUUUAAAUAGUUACAUAGAGUCUACUUUCUGGUGUAUUGCAAAUAUUUGACAUUUUAAAAUAAAAC